UAACUGUCUCGGGUGACCGCGGGUCGUAUGAUCUGAGGAAAGUCCGAGCUCCAUAGGGCAGGAUGCUGGAUAACGUCCAGGGGGGGCGACCCCACGGAAAGUGCCGCAGAAAAGAAGACGCCGAAUGGCCGCAAGGUUUCAUGGCAAUGCUGAAAAGGUGCGGUAAGAGCGCACCAGCAGUCGAGGAAUCGGCUGGCUUGGAAAACCCCAUCCGGAGCAAGACCAAAUAGGGGAGAGCUAAAGUGGCCCGCUUUUCUCCCGGGUUGGUCGCUAGAGGUGCCGGGCAACCGGCAUCGUAGAUAAAUGGUUGCCGCCCGCAAGGGUACAGAACUCGGCUUAUAGAGACAGUUAUUAC
rnacentral:RNase_P_RNA from 1 species